rnacentral:rRNA from 1 species
GUAAAUGGCUGCAUAAAUCUGAGUGUACGAAGGUAGCAUGAUAAUUUGUCCUUCAAAUGGGGGCCUGUAUGAAUGGGUUCACGUGAUAGUUGCUGUGUCACAAAAAUUUAUUGAAAUUAACUUUUAGGUGAGGAGGCCUAGUUGAGUCUAAAGGACGACAAGACCCUAGAAGCUUCACUAAGGAUGAGUUAUAAAGUAACUUAUUUUAGUUUUGUUGGGGCAACAUAGUUAGAAAAUAUAACUUGUUUUUAUAUUAACUUACAAGUUGAAGCCACGGUAGUGAGCAGGAUAAGCUACUCUAGGGAUAACAGCGUAAUUUCUUUUUAUAGUGCUUAUUGUAAAAGUAGUUUGCGACCUCGAUGUUGGAUUAAGGUAUCCUUAAGGUGUAUAAUUUUUAAAGGGUUGGUCUGUUCGUCCAUUAAAACCUUACA